rnacentral:rRNA from 1 species
UUACUAAGAGUUUGAUCCUAGCUCAGGAUGAACGCUGGCGGCGUGGAUAAGGCAUGCAAGUUAAACGGUGCAGCAAUGCACAGUAGCGAACGAGGUAGUAACACGUAGGUACUUCCCCCAAAGUCAAGAAUAACCAGUCGAAAGAUUGGCUAAUACUUGAUAGUCUCUUAGGAGUAAAGAUUUAUCGCUUUGGGAAAGGCCUGCGGGAUAUCAGCUAGUUGGUAAGGUAAUGGCUUACCAAGGCUAUGACGUCUAGGGGAGCUGAGAGGCUGACCCCCACCGAUGGUACUGAGACACGGACCAUACACCUACGGGUGGCUGCAGUCGAGAAUCUUCCGCAAUGGGCGAAAGCCUGACGGAGCGACGCCGCGUGACUGAUGAAGUCCUUAGGGACGUAAAGGUCUUUUGUGAGGGAGAAAGUUUAUUGAUAGUACCUCAAGAAUAAGGGGCUCCAAACUCUGUGCCAGCAGGAGCGGUAAUACAGAGGCCCCGAGCGUUAUCCGGAAUUAUUGGGCGUAAAGGGUGUGUAGGUGGUCUUGUUAGUCUUUUGUUAAAUUCUUCGGCUUAACCGGGGACCUGCGAAGGAAACGGCAAGACUUGAGUGUGCAAGGGGUGAAUGGAACUCAUGGAGUAGGGGUGAAAUCCGUUGAUAUCAUGGGGAACACCAAAAGCGAAGGCAAUUCACUGGUGCAUUACUGACACUGAAACACGAAAGCGUGGGUAGCGAACUGGAUUAGAUACCCAGGUAGUCCACGCCCUAAACGAUCUUCUCUAGCUUUUCGGAGUAUCGACCCUCUGAGAGGCGAAGCUAACGCGUUAAGAGAAGCGCCUGGGUAGUACGACCGCAAGGUUAAAACUCAAAGGAAUAGACGGGGACUUGCACAAGCAGUGGAUUAUGUGGUUUAAUUCGAUGGUAAACGAAAAACCUUACCCGGGUUUGAAACCUAACUGAAUACUUUAGGAAACUUUAGUAGCUCGCAAGGGCAGUUAGGCAGGUGAUGCAUGGCCGUCGUCAGUUCGUGGUUUGAAUUGUUCCCUUAAGUGGGGUAACGAACGCAACCCUUGUUGCCUGUUAUAUUUGUCAGGCGAGACUGCCCCGUAUAGUGUGCCCAAGUGCGCGAGUAAUCGCGAGUUUGGACAUAAUAUACGGGGAGGAAGGCGAGGAUGACGCCAGGUCAGCAUGUCCCUCUGAUAUCCGGGGCUACACACAUAAUACAAUGGCGACUACAACGCGUUGCGACGGGGUAACCCUGAGCUAAUCGUAAGAAAAGUCGCCCCAGUUCAGAUUGGGGGCUGCAACUCGACCCCAUGAAGUUGGAAUUGCUAGUAAUCGCAGGUCAGCUAUACUGCGGUGAAUACGUUCUCAAGUCUUGUACUCACCGCCCGUCAACUCAAGGGAGUUGGGAAUACCCGAAAUAUCACGUAUGUGGUCCUAAGGUAAGCUCAAUGACAGGGAGUAAGUCGUAACAAGGCACGGGUAGCGGAAGCUGC